CCUACGGGUGGCAGCAGUGAGGAAUAUUGGUCAAUGGACGCAAGUCUGAACCAGCCAUGCCGCGUGCAGGAAGACGGCUCUAUGAGUUGUAAACUGCUUUUGUACGAGGGUAAACGCAGAUACGCGUAUCUGUCUGAAAGUAUCGUACGAAUAAGGAUCGGCUAACUCCGUGCCAGCAGCCGCGGUAAUACGGAGGAUUCAAGCGUUAUCCGGAUUUAUUGGGUUUAAAGGGUGCGUAGGCGGUCGGAUAAGUUAGAGGUGAAAUCCCGAGGCUCAACUUCGGAAUUGCCUCUGAUAUGGUUAGGCUAGAGAGUAGUGGCGGUAGGCGGAAUGUAUGGUGUAGCGGUGAAAUGCUUAGAGAUCAUACAGAACACCGAUUGCGAAGGCAGCUUACCAAGCUACUUCUGACGUGGAGGCACGAAAGCGUGGGGAGCAAACAGGAUUAGAUACCCCUGUAGUC
rnacentral:rRNA from 1 species